rnacentral:rRNA from 1 species
ACUCCUACGGGGAGGCAGCAGUAGGGGAAUCUUCCACAAUGGGCGCAAGCCUGAUGGAGCAACACCGCGUGAGUGAAGAAGGGUUUCGGCUCGUAAAGCUCUGUUGUUAAAGAAGAACACGUAUGGGAGUAACUGUUCAUACGUUGACGGUAUUUAACCAGAAAGUCACGGCUAACUACGUGCCAGCAGCCGCGGUAAUACGUAGGUGGCAAGCGUUAUCCGGAUUUAUUGGGGCGUAAAGAGAGUGCAGGCGGUUUUCUAAGUCUGAUGUGAAAGCCUUCGGCUUUAACCGGAGAAGUGCAUCGGAAACUGGAUAACUUGAGUGCAGAAGAGGGUAGUGGAACUCCAUGUGUAGGCGGUGGAAUGCGUAGAUAUAUGGAAGAACACCA